GAUGAACGCUGGCGGCGUGCCUAAUACAUGCAAGUCGAGCGAACGGACGAGAAGCUUGCUUUUCUGAUGUUAGCGGCGGACGGGUGAGUAACACGUGGAUAACCUACCUAUAAGACUGGGAUAACUUCGGGAAACCGGAGCUAAUACCGGAUAAUAUUUUGAACCGCAUGGUUCAAAAGUGAAAGACGGUCUUGCUGUCACUUAUAGAUGGAUCCCUGCAUUAGCUAGUUGGUAAGGUAACGGCUUACCAAGGCAACGAUGCAUAGCCGACCUGAGAGGGUGAUCGGCCACACUGGAACUGAGACACGGUCCAGACUCCUACGGGAGGCAGCAGUAGGGAAUCUUCCGCAAUGGGCGAAAGCCUGACGGAGCAACGCCGCGUGAGUGAUGAAGGUCUUCGGAUCGUAAAACUCUGUUAUUAGGGAAGAACAUAUGUGUAAGUAACUGUGCACAUCUUGACGGUACCUAAUCAGAAAGCCACGGCUAACUACGUG
rnacentral:rRNA from 1 species